rnacentral:rRNA from 1 species
UGGGGAAUAUUGCACAAUGGGCGCAAGCCUGAUGCAGCCAUGCCGCGUGUAUGAAGAAGGCCUUCGGGUUGUAAAGUACUUUCAGCGGGGAGGAAGGGAGUAAAGUUAAUACCUUUGCUCAUUGACGUUACCCGCAGAAGAAGCACCGGCUAACUCAGUGCCAGCAGCCGCGGUAAUACGGAGGGUGCAAGCGUUAAUCGGAAUUACUGGGCGUAAAGCGCACGCAGGCGGGUUGUUAAGUCAGAUGUGAAAUCCCCGGGCUCAACCUGGAGACUGCAUCUGAUACUGGCAAGCUUGAGUCUCGUAGAGGGGGGUAGAAGUCCAGGUGUAGCGAUGAAAUGCGUAGAGAUCUGGAGGAAUACCGGUGGCGAAGGCGGCCCCCUGGACGAAGACUUACGCUCAGGUGCGAAAGCGUGGGGAGCAAACAGG